CAAUAGCGUAUACUAAAGUUGUUGCAGUUAAAAAGCUCGUAGUUGAAUUUCUGGAUGUGAAAGGUGGUCGGCACCUCACGGUGUCUGCACCUACCAUUCGCGUCCAUCCUCGGGAGGAACAUGUGGACACUUUAGUGGGUCUGCAUGGGAAUCUCGUCAUUUACUGUGAGCAAAAUAGAGUGUUCAAAGCAGGCUUACGCCGUUGAAUAUAUUAGCAUGGAAUAAUAAGAUACGACUUUGGUCUAUUUUGUUGGUUUGCAUUCCAAAGUAAUGAUUAAUAGGGAUAGUUGGGGGUAUUCGUAUUCAAUUGUCAGAGGUGAAAUUCUUAGAUUUUCGGAAGAUAAACUUAUGCGAAAGCAUUUACCAAGGAUGUUUUCAUUAA
rnacentral:rRNA from 1 species